rnacentral:antisense_RNA from 1 species
CGCCCUAGAGCCUUUUCCCUAUAACAGUGAAAUCAACAAUGACUGUAUCAGGAGAGAUCUUUAACUUAUUAUUUAUUACAAGAUAUUCUAAUGUUUAAAGAGCAAUCCAACAUAAAUGAAGAGAACAUAAGAAACAGCAUACACAAUACUGGACAUCACAGGACCCUCUCCGGCUGGAUACCAGGCUGUGGAGCCAUCAGAUGCUUCAGAUGAGAAAGGUUGGACCUGUUUCACAGGGAAGGGGCUAAACUAUUUCAAGAAGCGACCACGUGCUGGGCACUCUGUACUUUGCAACCUACCAAGUAUCAUCACAAGAGCUAUGAAAGUGAAGAGAGACAUGUUAUCUAAGAAUCUGAGAGAGAUGACUCAGUCAGCAUCCUCUGUCUUGGUGUACAAUGGUAGGGACAGCUACUGUGUCACCUGGAGCAUGACAAUGACAACACAGACACUGGGUCGUCCUGAUAUAGCCUGCAGUCCAUCUGGGCUUCUAGACAUUCAUUUGCAUUUGCAUUCAUGCGCAUCCCCUACUACUCCAACUCCUACACCUUUUGGCAGGAAAUAUCCACACAGCUGGAUUGGAAUCAUAAGAUGUUUUUAUUUUUUGCCUCAUUAAACUAGUUUCUCUCAA